rnacentral:rRNA from 1 species
GUUACUGCGAAGGGGGGACGGAGAAGGCUAUGUUGGCCGGGCGACGGUUGUCCCGGUUUAAGCGUGUAGGCUGGUUUUCCAGGCAAAUCCGGAAAAUCAAGGCUGAGGCGUGAUGACGAGGCACUACGGUGCUGAAGCGACAAAUGCCCUGCUUCCAGGAAAAGCCUCUAAGCAUCAGGUAACAUCAAAUCGUACCCCAAACCGACACAGGUGGUCAGGUAGAGAAUACCAAGGCGCUUGAGAGAACUCGGGUGAAGGAACUAGGCAAAAUGGUGCCGUAACUUCGGGAGAAGGCACGCUGAUAUGUAGGUGAAGCGACUUGCUCGUGGAGCUGAAAUCAGUCGAAGAUACCAGCUGGCUGCAACUGUUUAUUAAAAACACAGCACUGUGCAAACACGAAAGUGGACGUAUACGGUGUGACGCCUGCCCGGUGCCGGAAGGUUAAUUGAUGGGGUUAGCGGUAACGCGAAGCUCUUGAUCGAAGCCCCGGUAAACGGCGGCCGUAACUAUAACGGUCCUAAGGUAGCGAAAUUCCUUGUCGGGUAAGUUCCGACCUGCACGAAUGGCGUAAUGAUGGCCAGGCUGUCUCCACCCGAGACUCAGUGAAAUUGAACUCGCUGUGAAGAUGCAGUGUACCCGCGGCAAGACGGAAAGACCCCGUGAACCUUUACUAUAGCUUGACACUGAACAUUGAGCCUUGAUGUGUAGGAUAGGUGGGAGGCUUUGAAGUGUGGACGCCAGUCUGCAUGGAGCCGACCUUGAAAUACCACCCUUUAAUGUUUGAUGUUCUAACGUGGGCCCCUUACCGGGGUUGCGGACAGUGUCUGGUGGGUAGUUUGACUGGGGCGGUCUCCUCCUAAAGAGUAACGGAGGAGCACGAAGGUUGGCUAAUCCUGGUCGGACAUCAGGAGGUUAGUGCAAUGGCAUAAGCCAGCUUGACUGCGAGCGUGACGGCGCGAGCAGGUGCGAAAGCAGGUCAUAGUGAUCCGGUGGUUCUGAAUGGAAGGGCCAUCGCUCAACGGAUAAAAGGUACUCCGGGGAUAACAGGCUGAUACCGCCCAAGAGUUCAUAUCGACGGCGGUGUUUGGCACCUCGAUGUCGGCUCAUCACAUCCUGGGGCUGAAGUAGGUCCCAAGGGUAUGGCUGUUCGCCAUUUAAAGUGGUACGCGAGCUGGGUUUAGAACGUCGUGAGACAGUUCGGUCCCUAUCUGCCGUGGGCGCUGGAGAACUGAGGGGGGCUGCUCCUAGUACGAGAGGACCGGAGUGGACGCAUCACUGGUGUUCGGGUUGUCAUGCCAAUGGCACUGCCCGGUAGCUAAAUGCGGAAGAGAUAAGUGCUGAAAGCAUCUAAGCACGAAACUUGCCCCGAGAUGAGUUCUCCCUGACUCCUUGAGAGUCCUGAAGGAACGUUGAAGACGACGACGUUGAUAGGCCGGGUGUGUAAGCGCAGCGAUGCGUUGAGCUAACCGGUACUAAUGAACCGUGAGGCUUAACCUUACAACGCCGAAG